UGGGGGAUAUUGCACAAUGGGCGAAAGCCUGAUGCAGCGACGCCGCGUGGGGGAUGAAGGCUUUCGGGUUGUAAACCUCUUUCGCUAUCGAACAAGGCCCGCUUAGGGUGGGUUGAGGGUAGGUGGAGAAGAAGCGCCGGCUAACUACGUGCCAGCAGCCGCGGUAAUACGUAGGGCGCGAGCGUGGUCCGGAAUUAUUGGGCGUAAAGGGCUUGUAGGCGGCUUGUUGCGCCUGCUGUGAAAACGCGGGGCUUAACUUCGCGCGUGCAGUGGGUACGGGCAGGCUUGAGUGUGGUAGGGGUGACUGGAAUUCCAGGUGUAGCGGUGGAAUGCGCAGAUAUCUGGAGGAACACCGAUGGCGAAGGCAGGUCACUGGGCCAUUACUGACGCUGAGGAGCGAAAGCAUGGGUAGCGAACAGG
rnacentral:rRNA from 1 species